AGUGAACGCUGGCGGUAGGCCUAACACAUGCAAGUCGAACGGCAGCACAGUAAGAGCUUGCUCUUACGGGUGGCGAGUGGCGGACGGGUGAGGAAUACAUCGGAAUCUACUUUUUCGUGGGGGAUAACGUAGGGAAACUUACGCUAAUACCGCAUACGACCUACGGGUGAAAGCAGGGGAUCUUCGGACCUUGCGCGAUUGAAUGAGCCGAUGUCGGAUUAGCUAGUUGGCGGGGUAAAGGCCCACCAAGGCGACGAUCCGUAGCUGAUCUGAGAGGAUGAUCGGCCACACUGGAACUGAGACACGGUCCAGACUCCUACGGGAGGCAGCAGUGGGGAAUAUUGGGCAAUGGGCGAAAGCCUGAUCCAGCCAUGCCGCGUGAGUGAAGAAGGCCUUCGGGUCGUAAAGCCCUUUUGUUGGGAAAGAAAAGCAGCGGGUUAAUACCCCGCUGUUCUGACGGUACCCAAUGAAUAAGCACCGGCUAACUUCGUG
rnacentral:rRNA from 1 species